GAUGAACGCUGGCGGCGUGCCUAAUACAUGCAAGUCGAGCGAACAGAUAAGGAGCUUGCUCCUUUGACGUUAGCGGCGGACGGGUGAGUAACACGUGGGUAACCUACCUAUAAGACUGGGAUAACUUCGGGAAACCGGGGCUAAUACCGGAUAACAUUUGGAACCGCAUGGUUCUAAAGUGAAAGAUGGUUUUGCUAUCACUUAUAGAUGGACCCGCGCCGUAUUAGCUAGUUGGUAAGGUAACGGCUUACCAAGGCAACGAUACGUAGCCGACCUGAGAGGGUGAUCGGCCACACUGGAACUGAGACACGGUCCAGACUCCUACGGGAGGCAGCAGUAGGGAAUCUUCCGCAAUGGGCGAAAGCCUGACGGAGCAACGCCGCGUGAGUGAUGAAGGGUUUCGGCUCGUAAAACUCUGUUAUUAGGGAAGAACAAAUGUGUAAGUAACUGUGCACGUCUUGACGGUACCUAAUCAGAAAGCCACGGCUAACUACGUG
rnacentral:rRNA from 1 species